CGCGGAGAAACUGCAGAUACGGUGCGAGCGAACGACUAUUAUAAUAUAUACACAAGCGAGAGAGUCGAGUCUCCGUUAUUGGCGCGCGUAUCCGUGUGUAUCCAGAGGUAUGACGAUACGACGACGGAGCGAGUGCGAUCGACGCCACCGUACACCCGAAUUAUAAUCCUAGACGAUGAUCGGGUAUUACGAGGAGCGACUGCGAGUAUAGAAGGACGAGGGGGAGAAUUUCGAGCGUCGCCGCGGCCAGACUCUCUUCUAGGAAGAGGAGAGCCGGAGCCAGAAAGAGCCGGCCGGCAGUCACUUCCGGUUGUGAGAACGCCUUCUCUCAUUAUGGAUCGAAGGAGAGUGGUGAAAUAAAUGGGAUAGAUGCGCGUGCACGUAUAAAAAUAUGUGCCGUAACUUUUGGGCACACCGUAUAUCGUACUAUACGUUCUACACGUUGAUAUAAAACCUCGAGUGACACGUGGCCCUAGCGGUACAACGUUACAAAAGCUAUUCGAAUGAAAUUUCCGUUAGACGUUCCACUUUUUUACAUUAUACUACGGGUUUUGCCUCGAUGGAAGAGAAAAAACAAAUUUUUCCAAAUCAUUAAUUACGUAACACCGCAGGUGAAAUAUACAGUCGUAACAAUGGUAGUACGUACAACAUCUCGUAAAUCUGAAAUAGUUUAUUAGCAUAUUGCGCGUUCAAUUUUCGUUAGCAGAUUCGACGCAGCAGCGGUAGCCUGGUUUAUGCGAAAUCCGUUGCGAAAUACAGAACUCCGCAAAUGGGACGCUCUAGGGGUGGAGUUGGGGGUGGAUUACGAGGGUCGAAGUGAGAGGGCGAGGGCGAG
rnacentral:misc_RNA from 1 species